GCCAGUGUGGUAUAGUGGUUUGAGUGUUGGACUAUGACUCUGGAGUCAUGAGGCCAGGGUUCAAAUCCCUGCUCAACCA